rnacentral:rRNA from 1 species
UACGUAGGGGGCAAGCGUUGUCCGGAAUCAUUGGGCGUAAAGAGCGUGUAGGCGGCCUGAUAAGUCGGCUGUGAAAGUCAAGGGCUCAACCCUUGAAUGCCGGCCGAUACUGUCAGGCUAGAGUCCGGAAGAGGCGAGUGGAAUUCCUGGUGUAGCGGUGAAAUGCGCAGAUAUCAGGAGGAACACCGAUGGCGAAGGCAGCUCGCUGGGACGGUACUGACGCUGAGACGCGAAAGCGUGGGGAGCGAACAGG